UCUCCGUUGGUGAACCAGCGGAGGGAUCAUUACCGAGUUUACAACUCCCAAACCCCUGUGAACGUACCAUUUGUUGCCUCGGCGGUGCCUGCUUCGGCAGCCCGCCAGAGGACCCAGACCCUUGAUUUUAUACAGUAUCUUCUGAGUAAAUGAUUAAAUAAAUCAAAACUUUCAACAACGGAUCUCUUGGUUCUG
rnacentral:misc_RNA from 1 species